rnacentral:rRNA from 1 species
CCUACGGGAGGCUGCAGUGAGGAAUAUUGGUCAAUGGACGAGAGUCUGAACCAGCCAAGUAGCGUGAAGGAUGACUGCCCUAUGGGUUGUAAACUUCUUUUAUAUGGGAAUAAAAUGUUCCACGUGUGGGAUUUUGUAUGUACCCUAUGAAUAAGGAUCGGCUAACUCCGUGCCAGCAGCCGCGGUAAUACGGAGGAUCCGAGCGUUAUCCGGAUUUAUUGGGUUUAAGGGGAGCGUAGGUGGAUUGUUAAGUCAGUUGUGAAAGUUUGCGGCUCAACCGUAAAAUUGCAGUUGAAACUGGCAGUCUUGAGUACAGUAGAGGUGGGCGGAAUUCGUGGUGUAGCGGUGAAAUGCUUAGAUAUCACGAAGAACUCCGAUUGCGAAGGCAGUUCACUGGACUGCAACUGACACUGAGGCUCGAAAGUGUGGGUAUCAAACAGGAUUAGAUACCCCUGUAGUC